AUUGAACGCUAGCGGGAGGCUUUACACAUGCAAGUCGAACGAGUGGCGGACGGGUGAGUAAUAUCUCGGAACGUGCCCAGUAGAGGGGGAUAACUACUCGAAACAGUGGCUAAUACCGCAUACUAUUGGAUGUGCCGAGAUGGGAUUAGCUAGUAGGUGGGGUAAAGGCUCACCUAGGCGACGAUCCCUAGCUGGUCUGAGAGGAUGAGCACCCACACUGGGACUGAGACACGGUCCAGACUCCUACGGGUGGCAGAAGUGGGGAAUAUUGCACAAUGGGCUCAAGCCUGAUGCAGCCAUGCCGCGUGUAUGAAGAAGGCCCUAGGGUUGUAAAGUACUUUCAGUCGGGAGGCGUUACCGACAGAAGAAGCACCGGCUAACUCCGUGCCAGCAGCCGCGGUAAUUC
rnacentral:rRNA from 1 species